ACAAAAAACUACAACGCUUGAAGCUCGCACUCAUCACAGCCUGAGCCCAGCUUUGGGGCUGAAGAUAGCGAGGGUAUGCGUGGGGCUGGUGAAGCUGAGAGCACAGCUGAGGUGAGCCCUUCCCCAGGUGUCCUCAGUUUAGCUCCCCUCACUCAGAGCAGGGAGGAGGUGAUAGCCAGCAGGGUGGGUAUAAUCGAAGACAUGGGCUUCAGCUGUUGUGCUGACAGCCUCACUCAGAGAGCACAUCUACCCACCCAGCCCCACUGGUAAGCCUUUUGCUAAGCCUGGUGCGUGUUGGAAGGGCUGGUUUGUCUUUCACCGCUUCACCAAGGUUCUGCUGUCCCAGGAUGUGUGCAUGAGUCAUUGUCUGGAAAUCCAAGUGGCCAGAUGUCCGCCAGAUACCGCCGCACUCGAGUUGCUCACUCCAGCAAAUUGGGCGAGGGAAGGGGCCGCUCCUUCCCGCAGAGCUGGCGGGCAGGAGUGUUAAGAUCCUGGCUGACAGAAUCCGAUUGAAUGAGCAGUUGAGCUGGAGUCUGGGCAAAGCCUUUGCCUUAGGAAUUCAUGGAGCAAGGCAGAGAACAUCUGGAGGAGCUUUUUGGAUAACGCCACUGGGCUUGGAAAGGAGAAUUUCACAAAGAACUAGUCUCUGAGUGGAUGCUAAAGGGAGUAGGGAGAGGAGUUCUCUCCAACAUCCUUUGUGCAAUAACCAUGGAUGCCAGGGGAAUAUGUUGAGGAAGCAAUCACAAAGGCUUGCACACACUGUAAAUAGCAUCUUCUUCAGCCACUCUUGGAGAAAGGAUAUUGGGCUAAAUGAGCCACUGAUCUAAUCACUGAGUCUUGUGUUCUUCAAGCAGUCAUCUGCCCUUCCCAGAGUAUAAAUCAGAGUCCUGGAAAGUAAUUAUUGCUCUAAAAAGGUUGGAUGUGCCCUCUGUGUCUAUCUGGUAUCCCAAUACGACUGCAUCUCCAGCUGAGACCCUGGCAGAGCUUGCAGCCAGAUGCAAUACUGGCCGAACUGAAAGAAAGCAUCUCAAGUCAGUCCUGCUUGCAUCCUGCUGUGUGUCACACCUUUUGGCAUAAUAUUCUCAUUUAUUCAUCCUCCUUAUUGUGAUAGAGCUCUUGCUGUUGCCUGCAGGUUAUAACUAUCAUAAUUCACACUGAUGCCUGGUACCCAAAUGGUUAAAUGCAUUUGGCUUUGCUGUCCUCCUCAGUCCCUGUAGAUUGUGUUGCAAGAAUUGAAUGAAAUUGAUAGAGCUAGCAUUACAGCAAGCAAAACCCCCUGAAGAAAGAGUAGAUGGGUGGAUAGAGAGAAUGACCCCAAAGAAAACAGCUGUCAAGGGCAGCUAUUGGUUUAUCUUUCAUGGAAAGAGAGACGUAAUGAAUUCUAAAUUAAGAGAAACUAGAGGCAAGGCUGUUUAUCAGCUCUCUGCUGCAGCAUAAACAGGCACUUUAGAAGUAUCGACUGCAGUCUCACUUAAUGCACCAGGUACAUUUCCUCAGUGCCUGGGAACACCAUGCGGCCAUCGAGUUGGACGAAAGCUGUGAUAUCUAAAAUACAUUAGGUCAGGGCAGGAGCUGUUCUGCAUAUUGGUCUCUUUUCAAAGGGUCUUUGACCAGAGACCGCUUCUGAUUCUAAACCAAAAGAGCAGUACGUGCCUUGGGAGUCCACAUAGCCUUUUGCUUAAGAAAGCCAGGAGGUGCAAAAGUAGGAAAAGCACUAUGUAAGGGUCUCUUUGCAGGUGGUGGAGCUGGUGAGAACAAAACAGCUCCUGAGUUCAAUGCACUACAAGAAAUGUCAAAGAAAAUGUUAUCCCAUCAUCUUAUCUGUAUACAUCAUGAGAAUAAUUGCCUCUUUGUGACCCCACUGUUCAGAGUCGAGCAGUGUAUUUAUCAACUGACCGUGCGGGGUGGUAAGCCAUCUGACAGCUGACUCCAAGUAAGAUAAUAAGACUGACUGAUGGGUUGUUCUUGCUAUUCCCGACUUCAUCUUCUACUCCCCCAACUCCAUAGCCUGGCUCCAAGACACAGUCUGAAAUGUCGUGUCAAUCCAAAGAGGAUUUUGUGCUGCUUAAGUUCACCUCUAACUUAGAGGGAUCUUGAUUCUACAAAACAUCAUAACCUAGCCAAAUAGCCUGUUGAUUUUCUGGCUUCUCUGUACCAUCGUUAUUUAGCUGCAGCUUUUUGCAGGCAGGCGAGUACUAAAUGCUGGCCCACAAAGUCAAAGACAGUACAGUUGGGUCCUUCACUCCUUCAUCAGCACCACUUUCCCCUAGCUGAAGUGUUUGAAGAUGGAUUUGUCUCAAUGUGUCAGCUUAAUGUGGUCAAAACCCAGAUGCCAAGGAUGAAUAUAACUCAUCACGUUAUCUCCUCAUGAAAGCAAUCCUCACUGUCCUCUGAGGUGUAUUGACUCUUAUCCUUUCUCAGCCACAUGCUCUUUUGUCACUUUUGCUCAUUUUCAUGUCUUUAAUUAAAAGAAAAGGCCUUCCCAAUGGAAGAUUAAUUAGGACAAAUGUGCUGCCAUUAAUAUCUGCCAUGCUUGGAAGGAGAUGAUUCACCCUGUGAUUAAAGCCGAACGGAAUCUGGAAUCUGAGGAGUAAUUAGCCCUCAGCGGCUCGUAAGUCUGAAGAAAGCACUAUUUAUCAGUGGUGGUGCUAAUGCAAUUACUUCUCCACUGCAGCCUCCUGGACUGAUAAAUCAUAGCCUGAGCAUUUGGAGGAGCUAUCAAUUUAGGAUUAUGCUUCUCUGAGUCUACAGAGAGAGAAAAAGAGGGGAAACAAAGGGGCAAUCAGCUUCUCAAUGUCUUUAAUUGUAUCAAAACUAUGGAGGCUGAUGAAAUCUGAGCACCUCUUCUGAAUCCAUUUUCUCACUCGCACAGAAAACUGAGAUUUAGUGGUCACUGCAGCUGAUUGAAGUUAUAGCUUCAUUUUUUGGGGGGGAGGUUAGGGUAGUGGAACUGAAUCUAAGAAGUUUUUGUUCAGAAAAAAAAUGAGCUGAAUGGCUUAACUUGUAAAGCUGAAUUUCUAACCUGUGCUUAGAGCACCUUUUGCUUGCUUUUCUUCUGGGUUUGUUUAGGUGUGGUUGGUAAGCAGUGUGUUUUAAGGUAAUGUUUUUUCACAUGCAGCUCCCAUUUGCUGUGUGGUUGGGUCUUCAAGAACUGUUUGGCAAAUCUGGAGCGCUCUUCUUGGAGCACUUGAAAGGGAUAUCUGAACAUUAAUCUACAACAAAAUAUUCUCCUGUCUCUCAUAUGCACGUGUACAUCCUCUGCUUCAAUUUUAGAGUUAAGCUGAAGAAGAAAAGUGAAAUGAUGUCUGCCUCAUUUUGAAAAGCCAGGUGUAUCCUUGGUGUUAAUCUUCUCUUGAGUAGAAGUGUGCCUUUUUGCAUAAGGGAUUUGUCCUCAAGAUUGCAAAUUUCCCACCUUUCUAAUAAAACAAAACAAAAAGCCGAUGAAACAAAAGAUCCUGCAGAGCAAGCACCCCCUGUCUCUUCAUCCUGGUUCUUCAUAGGUGCUCCUUUACAAGUCUGAACUGUGCAGCACUGUACCCCAUCAUGAUCUCAGCCCCAUCAGACAACUUAGAGUGCUUCCCGUUGAUGCCGUGACACUCGGGGCCAUGCACCUUUCAUUAACACUGUAUUCCUCAAUCCCUUCCAUUUCCUGUAAUACAUAAUGUGGAAUAGACUAGCCAAUAAAAUGUCUGGAGGAUGUGGAUGGGAAUAUGAUAUGCUAGGAACUGAUCGCUGGCCUGAACCAUAGGGAAAUGGCUUGGCCUCUUGCACUAGUUAUAUAUAGUGAGUAUGUAUUUAAACUUGUCUCUUUAUUCCUGAAUGGAGCCCAAAUAAACAAGCAUAGCUGAGGGAAGUGCAGUAAAGAUUGAACUAGAUGAAGUCUUCCUUCUCACAGCUGCGACUGGCUGAAGAGUUGUUGUGGGAUUAUUCUCUCUGUAUAUCCUCUCGAACGCAGAAGUUUGUGUCAAGACCCAAGCUGUCUCCUGCACCAGCUGAAACAGUGCCCCUGCUUUAGGUGCUGUUGCAGAAGAAGCCCUGCUGAGCUGAAAUAGGAUGGAAGACCUGCUCAGUGUUUUCUGUUGACCACCUUCAAAGCAACUUUGCAUAGAAUUGCACAUCCACUGUGCUUGGGCCAGAGGUGGUGGUAGGGUUAAAUGCGGAGCAGUAGUAUAAAAAUGAGCUGCCUUCAAAUUCCAGGCAGGUCUUCAUCUAGGAAGACAGCAAAUGAGCAGCAUUUGGGAUGUUCUUGUGGCAGGUGUUAAUUAAGGUUUUAAAGCAGAUGGGUAAACAGGCUGAGAUUUCUUGAAGGAAAAGAUAACACUAAAUGAUAUUCACAGCAGCUGUGUUGCACUUGUUGGCAUGUUGGCUGACUACAGUACGUGUCAUGGCGGAACAGCUCCAGCAUCAGUGGAAGAAUAUUGAUUUUUUGGAAGCUUAAAGAGAAAAAUCUAAUGUUCCCCUUGGCUACUGGAGAGAAUUCUAAUUACCUUUUGGUCCUCUAAAAAACAACAACAAACGCCCAACAUGAUAUGGGCAGUUUUCUAAGAUGGUUUCUUCAGCAAGUGUCUCUGACC